AGAGCAGACUCAACCCCCACCCCUCCCAUACACACACUCUCACCCUCCCUCUCUGUCUCUCCUAAGGGAAUGAGAGGUAUGAUCUCCAGCAAAACUGAAUCAGAAUGGCUCCAGGUUCAGGUGCAUCCCACACAGAAAAAGGAAGAAGUGACAUAUUCAUAUGAAAACAGGGAAACUAAAUGAAAAUCCAGAAACUGAAUGGUGAAACUUACAGUUUUCUUCCUUGAUCCAGCAUUAGAGUCUUACCAUCUAAACUUAUCACCUCUGCCAAUCCCCUCAUCUCCAUUAUUCCAGUUAUACAGAUGGACAGGAAAAUGAAGGACCUUUAUCUGAAGAAAUUGAAAACCUUGUCACCUACUACCCAGGGAAAAGAAGAUAAAAUAUGGGAGGGGUGUCCAGCUGGCUCAGUCAGUAGAGCAUGUGACUCUUGAUCUUAGCAAGGUUAAGUUUGAGUGCCACUCUGGGUGUAGAGAUUACUUAAAAAUAAAAUCUUGAAAAACAAGAUAAAACAUGGGAGUUCAUUAGUCACUAAGCCAUGCUCAUGCAUGCCCAGUGAGCUUUCAAAUCAGCUUUGAAUGUUCCUUGAGUAUGAAGGAAUGGCUAAGGAUCACGGAGAGCUGCAGAAAGCCUCCAACAAAAAGAAAAAGACCAAAACCAACAAAAAAAAAAGUUUUAGAGGAACCAAAAAUAAUACAAGAAACAAAGAAAUUAUAAUUAAUAUUCUUGAAGAGGUAACAGAAGUGCUACACCCAUGAAAAAAGAACAAGAUGCUACAAUACAGGAUCAAAGAACAAGAGUUCAUAAAACAUUGUUUUAAAAGAGAGCUAAAAUUUAAAAAUUCAAUGAAAAGGUUGAAAUCUCCCAGAUCACAGCAACUUUUUGAGAUCAAAUUUCUCAACAUCAACACUGGAAGCUAGGCAAUAUGGGAACACCUCCAAACUUUUGAGGGAAAAUGAUUUCCAAUAUACAAACCUCUCAAUAGCCAGUCAACUGUGAGGGUAAAAAUAAAAUCCCCCCCCCCCGAAAAAAUUAUUUCCAACAUACACUUCCACAGUAAUAGUAGAGGAAACCAAAAUGAAGGAAUAAACCAAAAGGAACACAUAGGAUCCAGAAAAAAGGGACUCAACAAAAGUGAAAGAAAUUCUCAGAAUGUCAGCUAAGGGAAGUCCCAAGAUGACAGCUUUGCAGCAGGCCUAAAGAGAAAACAAUCCAGACUAAAGCAGGAAGAAAGACAGCUACAGAAGAGAUGACUACAAGAACAAAUAGAACUGGAAAAAAGAAUAUGGCUGAAAAUUCUCUCCGAAGGGUGGUGGUAUUCCAAAGAGGACCCCAGAAAACACUUGAGAAUACGGAGCGGUGCGGAAGGUACCUUAUGAAACAGCACACUUAGGGCCCUGCACACUACCUCAUUUCCCUAAUAGGGAUGAAAAGCUCGGGCCUCUGGUAGCUUCCAGCUGACGCCAAUGCUCUCCACACCCCUUUUUUGACAGGAUUUUCUGGCGCUGGAGCCUGUGGUCACAAAUACGAAUUCCGCGAUCACGUCUAAACGGUCUAAAUAAUCAAGAAUCUUUUACAAGACCAAACCCUUCGCGAUCCCAUCACCUCCCAUCUCCCUCCGUAGUCCAGCACACCUAAGCGGGUACUCUAGACCGAAUUCUACAAAUCUUUCAGCGCAUUAACUGGGAGAUAGAAACAAUAUUUAAAAAUGAGAGUUUCGGGCAUUCCCCUCGCUGCAACUGAAAUUACAGGCUCCAUUUCCUGUCCCCAAAAGGACUGCAAAAUCGUCCGCUGGGAACGGGACGCCUCCCGCCCCCUCCAGGCUGGCGCCCGCGACCGCCACACUCCCCCUGCCCGGGCCCCGCGGGCGCGAGGAGGUGGCGGGGACGCGGGGACCCGGGGCGCCCUCCCCUCCCCCUCCCAGCGCCAGCACCCACCUCGCGGCAGCGGCUUCACCUCCCCGUUCUCCUCCCGGGCGGCCCCGCUGGCCUCGCCUGCCCCGCCGAGGCCGUGCCUCCUCCUUUCCUUCUCUCGCUUCUCCUUGGGUCGGCGCGGCUUGGCGUUGGCCGAGGAGGUGGCGGCCGGGAGCAAGAGAUGGUGAGGCUGAGCGUGCAGCAGCGUAGGAGGGACCAGCAGUUUGCGCGGCACCGGCUGAGAUGAGGAAGCAGAGGCUGACGAAGGGACCGCGGUGCCAGCGGAAAAAGAGAAACUGCUCCGAGGAGAGGACGGGGAGGAGGCAGCAGACAGACCGGGAAAGCUCCAAGACGCAGGGCUGCCAUAGCUCUGAGGCGAAGGUGCCGCCAGCGGCUGCAGCUGCCUGCUGUUCCCGCCGCUGCUCCCUUCUCCGUUCAGUCUCCUCGGCGCCUUCUUCUCCUCAGUCCGGACCUUCUUGGCCGACAGAGGACCUGGUGGGUCCCGGAACGGGGGCUGCAAUUUGCCAAACGGUUCUUUCUCCGAGACAGCAGCGGCAGCGCCGUGCACGGGGCUCGGCGGUUCCGCCAUUUUGCGCUCCUGUUGUAUUUACUCUCCUCGGCUCCCGGGCGCGGGGCAGGGGCGGGCCCUCAGCGAGGGGCGGGCGAGGGGCGGGGGAGGGGCGGAGCGGACGGGCCACUAGCGAAGCCCUCCAUUGGACGAACCAUGCUGAGGGAUCCCUCUGGGAGCCAACCAAAGGCGCGAAUCUGGAGCCGAAGAGGCAGGAUCGCCAAGCGGACCCGUUUUGGAGGUCACAGCUCCUCUGGGCGCGGCUUAGUGGCGGAGCUUGCCGUGAGGGGAGGGUCUUCCACUUGUCGCCAGCGUGAACUCUGGUGCCCCGUGAGUGUUCGGAAUGGACCCCCAAAUCUGCCCCCGCCAGGUCGCACUCGACUCUGUUUCGACGACUUUUUUUGUAUCACUUUCUCUUCCUUUUUGCCUUGGGGUCCCUUUGGUCCCUCCCUUUCUCUUCGCUCUCAGAAAUCCGAGUUUCGCAGAUGCUUAGCUCAGAGGAGAAAAUUGUGUGCGGAAUUAAGUCCUUCCUUCUGUUAGGCAGUUGGAUGGGAGGGACCAAAAAUCACUUGGUGUCCUGACAAGAUUUGUUACUGUUGCUAAGAUCGUCAGCUCUAAUGCUUUGAGGGAGAUAACUUCCUGCAAACCUAGAACUUUCGGAUUUCUUCCGAGCUUGAAGCUUCUUCACUUACCACACCAGAAGAAACCUUGCAUGUGUGCAUUCAACAUGUCCAAGCUUAUGUCCACAUCCUUCACUUCCUGCAAAUAGUGAUGUCUAAUCAGCACAGCUCUGUCUGCCCCCUGAUCUGGGCACACAUGGUCCCCUGAUCUCAUGGACUCCUUACACUUUGCAAUUGGAGGAAGAUCCUUCCAGAUCACACCACAUGAAGAUGGAGGCAGAUGUUGGACUGAUGCUUCUACAAGCCAGAGAACUCCAAGGUGGCCAGCAUAUCAUCAGAAGCUAUGGGAGAGGCAUGAAACAGAUCUUUCCCUUACUGCCCUCAGAAGGAACAGGUGGUGCUGACACCUUGAUCUCGGAUUCUAGCCUCCAAAACUGUGAGACAAUUUUCUCUUGUUUAAGCCAUCUAGUUUAUGGUACUUUGUUAUGGUGGCCUUUGAAACUAAUACAUGGUGCAUGGUCGAAAAGUUUGGAGACCCCAGUUAGAGAAUGAGAGCCAUGGAAGAAUUGGUAUAUGUUUAAGAGUCCAAACUAUAUAUGUCCUGUCUUUAUUCAUUUUCUAUAUUUAAUAACUUAUUUUAGGGCACCUAGGUGGCUCAGUUGGUUAAGCAUCUGACUUCAUUCAUGUCAUCAUCUCACAGUUCAUGAGUUUGAGCCCUGCAUUAGACUCUGUGCUGACAGCUCAAAGCCUGGAGCCUGCUUCUGAUUCUGUAUCUCCGUCUCUCUCUGCCCCUUUCCCCGCUCAAGUUGUGUGUCUCUCUCUCAAAAAUAAAUAAACAUUAAAAAAAAACUCUAAAAAGUAAAUAACUAAAUUGAACAGAUUUCUUAGCUUAUCAGUACUUCUAUUAAAGGCACUAUAGUAGAAAACAAUGUGUUCAUCUUUGUGUUUGGUGUAGUUUAUGUUAAAGGAAGGAGGAAUUAGGAAAUACUUGACUUAGUAUACUUUAGUUCAAAACAGGGCCAGUUUUAGGGAAAAAAUUUAUAUUUAAGAACCCCAUUAGGCAGAAGUGGAGCCAAAAUCAGAAAUAGGGUCCUACCAACAGAGGUCAUACCUGUGAACAGUCUGAGAGUUUAUCAUCAAUGCUGAGAGGACUGUAGGCAAAGCAUAUAUUAUUCUAGCUGUGUAAUUUUCAAGUGCUAAAGACAACCUGUCCUUUUUAUACAAGUUAUACAUUAGUCAUGUGUGUGAGAUUCCAAAAUAGUAUGAUUGAGACAGUUUUCAAGGACAGGGGUAACACCUUAAACUCAGAUGUAUCUCUUUAGAACCUGUGUGUGGGUCAGCAAAAUCUGGAAGUCAGCAGUACAUUAAUUAAAUAGCUUAUUAUUUAAUAGUAACUAAUCUAUUAAUAUAAAACCCAGGUUAGUAGAUAUUAAUUAAUAUAUUAGCUGAUUAUUAUGUUUCUAUAGUAAUACCAAAUGUAUUUACACAUUAAUGAAUUUAACAUAUAUAUAAAUAUUUUGUUAUUUUAGGUCUUUGUUGGCCAUGGAAUAUUUGAUCAUUUUUGGCCUUAUUUAUGCAAGUCAGUGAAAACAUUUUGAAGUCCUACUUUUUAAAAAAUUCAAAUGUAUUUAUAAUAGCUGUGCCAUCCUUUAGACUUUUUAAAGUAAUAGAAUCAUUUCUUCAAAUAAACUCUUGUGUGGAAGCCCAGUAUGCUCAUAACUGCAUUAGCAGUGUACCCAUUAUAGAGGACUGGCCAUUUAUAGAAAUAUAUCCUCAUGUUUUAAAUCUUGUUUCUUAUAUCUAGUCUGGAAAUUCUGUACUUUGUGGAUAUAUUUUCUAUAUUCACUAUAAUUUGUUAACAGAAUGAAAAAGAAAUUAUAUAGAAGAGGAUAAUAAAUAUGCUACUGACCUAUGAUCAUAGAACCUGUGCUUGGAGUUGCUAUCCAGUAGUGGAACUAGAUUUGUAAGAAUACAUCCAUCAUCUCUAGUUUGGACCCCUUUGUAACCAGCGCUGCAGUCUGUGACCUAUAGCUACUUGGUCCAGAAUAUAAUGUCUACUAUCUCUAGAAACACAUUUCUCAUUAAGGAACUUCCUUUUUGUGCUUCCACUACUGUUCUUUUAACAGUUUCUGGUUUUGCUCUAUUCAGCUACACCUUUGCCACCUUUGGACUCAAAAACCUGUUUGUCCAGUUCAAUAAAUGUUUUUUUUUUUUUUUCUCUCUCUCUCUCAUUCAUGACUUAUAUUGUAAGCUCAUAAAUAUUUGGAACUGUAUAUACUUUUUGUAUGUUUAGAUUGUUAUAAAAACUGGCACCAUAUGGAGAAGUUGGGCAUUAGCAGUGGAGUCUUUCAGAAUUAAGAGUUUUUGCCUUCAUGGUAUUUAUCACAUGGCUAUUUUUAAAGAACAAAAUAAGUCAGGUAGCCAAUCUGACUGCCAGUAAAUUGCAAUUCAGACUUUUCCACUUUUGUCUAAAAUGUACAUAUAAAAAGAUAGAAAUGGGGUAUAAUUUGAUCAUCAGUGAAUCUUUUCAAUAAAAAUAUACCCAGAGUCUUUAUUCUUUUUUUGUUGUUGUUAUUGAAGUAUAAUCAACAUACAGUGUUACAUUAGUCUCAGGUAUACACUAUGAUUCCACAGUUCUAUACAUUACAGCCCAGAGUCUUAUAUCAAAUAAUGUUUAUUGAGACCCUACCAUGUGCUCAUUAUGCUAAGCCUUGGGAGGUGGACAGCAAGAAGUCAGAUUCAGUAUACAGUGGCAAAUUAAAUGAACAUGAUCCUGGCCUCAUGGCAUAGAUAUAUUACAAAUACACAUAUAUACACACACACAAAAAUAUACUAAUAUAAUAAGUAUAAUAUAAUACUCUGAUACAAGUUCUGAAGGAAAUAAACAGAGUUCUUCAGUGGGAGUAAAAGAAGUUACUUUAAGUAAAACAGUCAAAACAGGAAUGUGAAGUGAAAAGAAAGCAUUCUAAGCAGAAAAUAGCUUGUGCAAAGGCCUUGAGGCCCACUAAAGUACUGGGCUUAUUCAAAGAACAAGACCUUAAGUUCCAUGAGGAAAAGAUUUUUUUCUUUUGUCUAAAACAACAUAUGUAACAAUCACUAAAGAAAUAUUUGUGUACAACUGAAUGAAUAUCUGUAUACCUAGGAUUUAGUGAGUGCAAGUUGAGGUUGAAGAGGUAGGCAAAGAUCAGCUAUGCCAAGCCUUGUUAAAAAUUGAGGGACCUAAUUCACAUUUUAUAAAGGUCACUCACAACUGUGAGAGGAACUGUUUGGUAGAAGAAGGGAAACCCAGGUUCAUGAUGCAGUGGAGGUAGAGACAGUGGACCAAAGAAAUCAGUAAACAACUAUGUUAGAGCCAAGGUCAAUGGGUUUAACUUCCUGCCCACUUCAGCAGCUUAGCAAAGUGAUUGUGUCCAAUAUAGAUCUUUAUACCCCUGGAACUCCCAUAGCCCUUCAACCCCCAGACCAAGACUGGAAAGAAAUUAACCUUUAGCUGAGAAUUUAAUCAAGCCCUUAAAGAAAGUAAUUUCAGAGUUUCUCCUGAGUCUUUGUGUAAUUAAGGGAAUGACCAUCUUAAAUGAAGUCACAAGGACGAUCAAGAAUAUAGAUUAUUUUAUAACUGCUUUGGUUUAUGCCCAAUGAGUAUUUCUUUUGAAGAGAUUUUACCACACAUACAGAAGCAAAUGCAAGGUACAAUCAUUUUUGGAAUAGUGCUAAGCUAGGGGCCCCUGGGUGUCUCAGUCGGUUAAGUGUCUGACUCUUGGUUUUGGGUCAGGUCAUGAUCUCACCAUUUGUGAUUUCGAGCCCCACAUUGGGCUCUGCGCUGAACGUGCAGAGUCUGCUUAGAGUUUCUCUUCCCCUCCCUUUCUCUCCCUCUC